rnacentral:lncRNA from 1 species
UCGCAUAUCAAACCAUUGGGGAAAAACAUGGACUUUUCAGUAAAUGGUGUUAGGAAAUGAGUAAUUACCUGGGAAAAAAUUGAGUUGGCUCCAUUUGUCACAGUGUACUCAGAAUAAGUUCCAAAUGAAGAUAUUUAAAUAUUUUAAAUGAAACUGGAAUUGUGUGUAUCAAAGUAAUAGUUACAUCUAUGGCAUGCCUCUGGGAAACAGCUUUAUCUGCAAUUUUCUAAUUUUUUAAAGGCUAAUAAAUAUAGAAAGAAUGAUAGAACAUUGCUGUUUUGAACCAUCAUAAUAAUGAUUUAUUAAAGCUAAAAUUAUGGAUGCUGUUAAAACUGCUGGAUGAAAGUUUAGGGAGCGUGUGGGAAUUCCUGUCGUGGCUCAGUGGUUAAUGAACCCGGCUAGUAUCCAUGAGGACGCGGGUUUGAUCCCUGGCCUCACUCAGUGGAUUAAGGAUCUGGCAUUGCCCUGAGCUGUGGUGUAGGUCAAAGACGCAGCUCAGAUCCCGCAUUGCUGUGGCUAUAGCAUAGGCCAGCGGCUACAGCUCUGAUUUGACCCCCUAGCCUGGGAACCUCCAUAUGCCACAGGGGUGCAGCCCUCAAAAGCCAAAAAAAUAUAAAAGAAAGUUUAGGGAGUGUGAUGGUUAUUUCUAUGUGUCACCUCGGCUGGGCCAGAUACAGGUGAAACACCAGUCUAAAUGUCACUGUGUAGGAGUUCCCUGGUAGCUCAGCGGGUUAAGGGUCUGGCAUUGUCACUGCUAUGGCUCGGAUUUGAUCCCUGGCCUUGGAACUUCUAUAUGCCAAGGGUGCAGCCAAAAAUAAAAAUCUUUUAAAAAUUUUAAAUAAAGAUUUUUUUUAGAUGACAGUAACAGUUAAAUCAGUGGACUUGGAGUAAAGCAGAUUAUCCUCCAUAAUAUGGGUGGGCCUCAUCCAACCAGUAGAAGGUGGCAGGCGAAAAAGACUGAGGUUCCCAGAGGAAGCGGAAAUUCUGCCUCCAGCCCGCCCUGCAGAUCGUGGCCUUGACGGCCUCCUCAGUUGUGUAAGCAAUUCCUUAAAAAGCAAUCUCUCUCUCUCCCCCGCCCACUCUGUGUGUGUGUACACAUAUACACACACACAGACACACACACACAUCCUCACAUCCUACUGGUUUUGUUUCUCUGGAGAACCCUAACACAGGCCUAGUCCCAUAGUUAAAUUAUUAAUUUCAAAAGGAAAACAGGGAACUUGGCAGUGGAGCUGGAGGGCAUUUCCUUAACCGACCGGUCACCAGUAAUGGGAAGAACCAGCAUCACGUGCCCUCUGAGAAGGCUCCAAUCCCAUCGAGGUAGAAAUCCUGCCAGAAUGAACCACCCGAGUCUAAUCAGAGGAACGCCGAUGUGAUCACGAGCAAACAAUCAAAGCUGAAACGGAGGAACACUCCACAGAGCGAAUGGCCUGGUCUCUUCAAAAAUGCCAAAGGCAUUGGAGACCAAGAAAUAACGGGGCUGAGGUUCAGGUUCUGAUCAUAGGAACGCAGAGAGUCAUGACAGCGAAGUACAAAGUGUAAUCCCAGACAUCCUGGAGCAGAAAACAAAAUUGCUCUGAAGGAUAUCCCGAGAGAAUUGGUCAGCUAAUUGGAUGGCCUUGUUGUAAACUCUCCUGCCUUUGACCAAUUGUACCGCAGCGAGGUACGUCAAUCAAGAUGUGCCAGGAAGCUGGCAGAGGGUUCUCUUACCCUCCCCCAGUUGUCUGCUAAGUGUCCUCGUGGGGGUGUCACUCCCUAUAACUGGUAUCAGCAGCAGCACUUCAAAGCCAGGUAUGAUGGGACUUGGUACAAGAGCUUUUUUUUAAAAAAAUCCCUGUACCUAUGAUGUUUUUUCUUCCUUUACCUGUUUAUUUGCAAGACUUCUUCCAUUCCUGAUUCUUUUGUCUUCAAGCGCUGACGAGCCCCUUUUGUGUAUUGAACUGCCGUCAUUACGAGGUUUCAGCUCACACCAAGUCAGGAGCAGAACCAGCCCAUCCUAGAAAUCCUGCCCCAAAUGAACCACCCGAUUCUAGCCAUCCCAACCCGCAGCUCAGGAAGGGGCUUGCCGUCCCAGGGUUAGGCUCCCCGAGAGACGGAGAGAUCUUGUCAAAGAACCUGACGCUGAGCCACAGGGAUGAGCUGAGAGCUUCAAGGGGGGCUUUGGGGACCUUCAAGACGUAGGGGACAAGGCAAGAUCCCAGUCCUGGAGGACCUUUGGACAAAAGACCUCAGAUUGGGAGUGGGGUCCAGGGACCACAAUGCUCAUACCAAACAGGGCACUGGCCUCUAUACAGAGGCGUGGGGGGCAUCAGUGCUGGGUGAGCCGUAGGACCAACGUUGUCACAAGCUCUGGAGCUCACACCUCCUUCAGCUAUUUUGGCUACCCUUUGACCUUGGCUUUCAUUGUCCUUUACUCACCCCCACCCCCACGCCCUCCUGACUUCCCCAUGGACCAGCCAUUUAGAACUUCACAGGCUCAAUCUGAGGAUGUCUUUAGGGACUACAGAAGCCCUGAUGUUUCCUUUGGCUGAGUAGGAGUGACUGGGUGUUAAAAUCAACCCCCAGUUGAGGUUGAAGGGCGAAUAUCAAAGACUAAACUCACAGGUUACCAAAAAAAUACAUAUAUAUAUAUAUCUGAAAUAUCAUCCCAAACUAUUAAUUAUUACAAUGUUAUAUUAACAUUUUAGAAGUUAAUUUUUUAAAUUUGACACUUCAGUGUUGGAACAGUUUCUCUUGUGGUCUCGAAACUACGUUUCCAAUAUUAGUCAUUCACUUUGAACUGAACUCAGUGGGGAAGCAAGAUUUCUUUGGCUUAGCUUUGCAGGGAGAGGUACUGAUGUUGAUAACGUUGUCACCAAGAUAUUAAGCUUUCCUUCCUCUCCAGCGGCGAGUGACAAAGGCAAAGAUGCAUCUAUUCUUUAACACCUGCCUUUAAAGAUGGAUCCGUAGGAAGGAUGCAAGGUCACUGGAGCAAUCCUGCAAACUAAGACCUGUGCAGAGCUUUAAGAACGAUGCUUUAUUGCCCAUCGACGUGUUACUGAACAACCUUGGAUCCACUCACCUGCACACAGUAAAGCUAACUCACUGGCAUCAGGUCGUGGUGACGAAAAGCACAGCGUUUAUUGCAGGGGCCGAGUAAGAAUUUCAGGGCUCUUCCUGUUCAGACACCUGGGGUUCAGAAGAGCCUCUUUAAAGGAAAGGUGAGGGAGGGGGGGGUCCUAGGAUUCGUGAUCCGUUCGUGCACUAUUCUCUGAUUGGUGGGUGGUGAGAUAAAAGGGCAGAGUCGCUGGAGUUAAUGAUACCAGUCCUUUGGCACCAGUAGGUUUGCGGGCUCCGUGCUCCUGGUCAUCAAGUUAAAUGCAUUAACUGCUUGCAUUUAGUGGCCGUUUUAGCAUCUGUAAAAACAGCUCAGAAAAUGUGCAUCAGACACUACUGUCUAGGAACUUAGAAGAGAGGCUAAAGCAGAGGCUAUGGGGAAGGGUCUGUCCCCAGGGCCCCAUAGGGUCCUGCUUGGUUCCAGAUGUUUCCUCAUAUUCGAAAGUAAGUAUCCGAGGACCACGCUAAACGGUCACCAGCAUUCCUGAUGUUUCUGACAUCACUGCGCUGAUUAGAGUUAAUGGUUACCUAGGUGCGUGACAUUAGAAUGCCUGAAAAGACCAAGAAGUUGGCUCUUUGACCUUCCAAAGGUAUUUCUGAGUGCACAGCUGAACCGUAGAUUUUGGCCAAAAGCCAGGGCUUAGCAUCCUUGAAGCCUUAUCUCCUACCAGGUAUUUUUCAGGAAAGGGUUCCUGAUCUUCCUACUGAGCAUUUUUCGGGACGAUGAGUUACAGCAGGAUUCAGACCUCGUGCUAGGGGACUCCUGGGGGCUCUCACCUAAGCACCUUUGAGGGGUGGAGGGCUCUGACCCCAGAGCUCAACAAAUCUGUUCUCUCCCCAGGGACACGCACAGGCAGAAUCUGCCCCGUGUCCACACCCUCAGAGCAAUGCCCGGCACGAAGCUGACCAUCUACCCAUUUUUGUUAGAGGAAUGACUGAGUGAAGGGAUAAAUGGAGGUGCAGGAAAGGGCAACAGUGUCACCAUUGAACACCUGCCUGAGGACAAGGGGCCAGGACCUCUCUAAAGGCAGAGGGUUCGACCUUAUGAUGUAUUUGAGAUCUUUUUGGACCUCUGAGAGGUUCCUCAAAACCCACCUGGGGCUCCUGGAGAGGGUUUUAGAAAAGCAGGCCACCCAGGCCACCAGAGCCCUGGGAGCAGUAGGGAGGCCGGGUGGCAUUUCCAGAGGAGGGGGUUGCAGAGAAGCUGCUUGGAGGGAAGAAAAUAGAUGUGCGCAGUGCCUGUCCUGGUCUGGCUGCUCACUGUGGCUUUCGCAUCCCUGCCAGCCAGCCGCAACGUCAGCCUCCGGAGCAGGGCUUCUUAAAUUGCUUGUCGAAUGGCUGUGACUCAUCACCUGAUGCUUGUUUUUGCUCUUAUUUUCCAUUAUAGAAACCUUAUCUUGUGAGUCAGGAUCAGAGAUAAAAACGUGAAACUGGAGGAGGGUGGGGGCGGGGAGGGAGUUGAGGCUGCGUAGGGGGAAGGAAGGGGGACAGCAGCCCUCCUAAAUCCCCCCUUAGCCCAGGGGCCUGUCUCUGGCCGGGAAUACGGAGCCCCCUGCUCUUGCUUUGGGCUUGGGAGCAGGAGGGGAGAUAGGAGCUCCUCUGAAAAGGGAAACUAGAGACCGCUCCCACCCCCCUGGUUUCCAUCCUGGCCAGGCUGGUCCCUCUAAACCCCGGAGCCCCUGACUCCUGAAUCAGGUGUUGGGGGGGUUAAUUGAUGUAGAGUUGAUUUAUCAUAUUAGGGUCAGGUGUGCAACAUAGCGUUCAAUACUUUUACAGAUUAUACUCCAUUUAAAAUUAUGAGGAAAUUGUGGCUAUAGUUCCCUGUGGAAUGCAACAUAUCCUUGUUGCUGUGCUAAAGUUCUGCAGGGUGGCUUCUGUCUCUGAAUCCCCUUCCCCGAUGCUGCCCCUCCGCCUUCUCUCUCCCCACUGGUUACCGCUGGUUUGUUCUCUAUAUACAUGAGUCUACUUGUUUUGUUAUAUGCAUUCAUUUACUUUUUAGAUUCCACAUUUAAGGGAUAACAUUGAAUAGUUGUCUUGCUCUGACAGGGGUGGCUUUUGUAAAAAUAUAAAUUUAGAGGAGUUCCCAUCAUGGCUCAGUGGUUGAUGAAUCCGACUAGGAACAAUGAGGUUGUGGGUUCGAUCCCUGGCCUUGCUCAGUGGGUUAAGGAUCCGGCGUUGCUGUGAGCUGUGGUGUAGGUUGCAGACGCAGCUCGGAUCCCGCGUUGCUAUGGCUCUGGUGUAGGCUGGUGGCUACAGCUCCGAUUCGACCCCUAGCCUGGGAACCUCCAUAUGCCACAGAGCAGCUCUAAAAUGGCAAAAAGACAAAAAAAAAAAAUUAAGAAUAAGAGGCUUAAUUUUAUUAAUUUAAAGAUUUCCCCAACAUUUUCCCUUUCCUGCAGAAUUUUUCUCUGCCCUUUCACGGGUGCAUAAAUCUUUUUAAUGGCCAGAGAAGCCACUUGCCAGUCUUAUAACUCAGGCUGGUUUCAUCCAGGCCCCAACCCUUUGCUGUGUGCUUCAGGGGAGAUAAGGCCGGGUCCCCCAGAGGGGCCUGAAUGGUCACCUGACUCCAUGUGGUGAAAUCUGCAAACAUAAUCGAGGCAUCACACAGCCGCCUAGAGUGGGCUGCAUUCUGUCUGCAAGCUCGCCAGCAGGUCCCUGCCCCACUCACCACUUUCUGGUGUAAUGCUUGUUGGAGAGUAAAAGUGCUUUCUUCCUCUGCUACCAUCGUGGGGAGAUUUUCGGGGUUAGGAUCGGAUUUUGUUUUCGAUUCUGUUCCCCAUACUUUGCUCAGCACCAGGAA